rnacentral:rRNA from 1 species
CAGUAGUCAUAUGCUUGUCUCAAAGACUAAGCCAUGCAUGUCUAAGUUUAAGCGAUUUAAACGGUGAGACUGCGGACGGCUCAUUAUAUCAGUUAUAGUUUAUUUGAUGGUCGAUUACUACAAGGAUAACCGUAGGAAUUCUAGAGCUAAUACUUGCACUUCAAGGUGAUUUAAACAUCAUCUGCACUUAUUAGAUUUACCACCAAUGCUCUUCGGAGCUUCGGUGAUUCAUAGUAAUUUAGCGGAUCGCUACGACUUCGGUCGCGACGCUUCAUUCAAAUUUCUGCCCUAUCAGCUUUCGAUGGUAGUGUAUUGGACUACCAUGGCUUUGACGGGUAACGGAGAAUUAGGGUUCGAUUCCGGAGAGGGAGCCUGAGAAACGGCUACCACAUCUAAGGAAGGCAGCAGGCGCGCAAAUUACCCAAUCCCAACGCGGGGAGGUAGUGACAAGAAAUAACAACAACUAACCUAUUUCAGGUGAGUUGAUUGGAAUGAGUACAAUCUAAACACCUUAACGACUAUCCAUUGGAGGGCAAGCCUGGUGCCAGCAGCCGCGGUAAUUCCAGCUCCAAUAGCGUAUACUAAUGUUGUUGCAGUUAAAAAGCUCGUAGUCGGAUUUCAGUAGGCUCAGUUUAGUCUUCAUUGUAAGAUCUAUAUGGGCCUGCUUCUUUGACAGAAACUUCUAUGUUAUUCAUUUAGCGUGGGCAGCGACUGUCUCUUUUACUUUGAGAAAAUUAGAGUGUUCAAAGCAGGUAGAUGCCUGAAUAUUACUCUUGGAAUAAUGCUAUAAGACUUUGGUUCUAAUGUAUUGGUGAUUGGGACCAGAGUAAUG